rnacentral:rRNA from 1 species
UGGGGAAUAUUGGACAAUGGGCGAAAGCCUGAUCCAGCCAUGCCGCGUGUGUGAAGAAGGUCUUCGGAUUGUAAAGUACUUUAAGUUGGGAGGAAGGGCAUUAACCUAAUACGUUAGUGUUUUGACGUUACCGACAGAAUAAGCACCGGCUAACUCUGUGCCAGCAGCCGCGGGAAUACAGAGGGUGCAAGCGUUAAUCGGAAUUACUGGGCGUAAAGCGCGCGUAGGUGGUUUGUUAAGUUGGAUGUGAAAUCCCCGGGCUCAACCUGGGAACUGCAUUCAAAACUGACUGACUAGAGUAUGGUAGAGGGUGGUGGAAUUUCCUGUGUAGCGGUGAAAUGCGUAGAUAUAGGAAGGAACACCAGUGGCGAAGGCGACCACCUGGACUAAUACUGACACUGAGGUGCGAAAGCGUGGGGAGCAAACA